GGUUAUUUUCAAGUGGCCUGCGGCGCGCGAGAGCUAGCUUGAGCCAGGGGCAUAUUUUGUUUUUACGCAGUUGACUUGAAGCAUCUCUCUCGCUUUUUGCUGGUACAACAACUUCUCAAUUUCAAUAUUUCCAUAUU
ensembl:ncRNA F08F3.15 ncRNA